CAACCACAAACAUCCAAACGUCAAAAGAGCGAGGAAAAACUACCACAUCGAGAAAAAAUUACAUUAUUGGCAUCAUGGCUGGAUUAUAUGCCAAUAUCAUUUCCUUUUGAAAUAGCAAGGAAUUGAGAAUGGAAACAUAUCUUCGAAGAGUUCUAUGAUCCCAAGUUCAAAAGUAAUCAAAAUAACUAGAAAUCAUUCAUGACAAAUGUCCACGGGGAGAACAAGUUUUUUCUUUCUCAGUUCCUUUUGAUAGUUCUAAAAACAACUAUUGCACGUCCUAAAACUUCCUAGUAACGAUUGCCGUGCUGGUGCUGCAGAGUACUUGUUAGCAUGUAUCUCAUAUGAGAAAACGACAAGACUAGGGUGAAUAUAUUCGCAGAAUACAAACCUCUGGAGCCAUCCAACGAUAUGUUCCAGUUUCUGCAGUCAUCACACCAGAUUGAGAUUGCAUUCUGGCAACACCAAAAUCAGCAACCUUGACAACCUGUCAAGCAUUUUGGUUUAAAGGUGGGACUGAAAUAAAAAAACAAUCUGAUAGAGUUCAAAAAAAGGAAAAAAAAAAAAAAACAGAGGCACACUUGAGAAUGGGUACUCCAGGAGAUGACUUAGUACACUAGGAUUGACAAAAGAUAAUCCGCAAAUUCAAAUAACGAUUAUGCUUAUAAAUGUUUAUUAUAGAAAAGGAAAAUCAUUGGAUUCAAAUACAAGUUCAAAGCCUGCAGUACAGAGUAAUGCCAGUCAAAUGUGUCGAUGAAACAUGUAAAGGCUCAAACCUUGUACCCACUCUACUUUAUUCACGCUCUUAUUUGAAUGUCAAUUUAAGGGUGAAAAAUCAAUUACAUACA